rnacentral:misc_RNA from 1 species
GAUGAAGAACGUAGCGAAAUGCGAUAAGUAGUGUGAAUUGCAGAAUUCAGUGAAUCAUCUAAUCUUUGAACGCACAUUGCGCCCUUUGGUAUACCUUAGGGCAUGCCUGUUCGAGCGUCAUUUAAACCUUCAAGCUAAGCUUGGUGUUGGGUGACUGUCCGCUUCACGGCGGACUCGCCUCAAAAUUAUUGGCGGCCGGUACAUUGGCUUCGAGCGCAGCAGAAACGCGAACUCGGGCCCGUCGUAUUGGCUCCCAGAAGCUAUCUUCACAAUUUUGACCUCGGAUCAGGUAGGGAUACCCGCUGAACUUAAGCAUAUCAAUAAGCGGAGGA